AGAACUUUAAGUUAAUAAAACUAGAAGCCUUCAAAGCUUAAAAUGGCCCUGCCAAGUUCUG
rnacentral:tRNA from 1 species